AGAGCGAACGCUGGCGGCAGGCUUAACACAUGCAAGUCGAACGGAUCCUUCGGGAUUAGUGGCGGACGGGUGAGUAACACGUGGGAACGUGCCUUUAGGUUCGGAACAACACAGGGAAACUUGUGCUAAUACCGGAUGUGCCCUUCGGGGGAAAGAUUUAUCGCCUUUAGAGCGGCCCGCGUCUGAUUAGCUUGUUGGUGAGGUAAAGGCUCACCAAGGCUACGAUCAGUAGCUGGU
rnacentral:rRNA from 1 species